GGAUGCGAUCAUACCAGCACUAAUGCAUCGGAUCCCAUCAGAACUUUGCAGUUAAGCGUGCUUGGGGGAGAGUAGUACUAGGAUGGGUGACCUCCCGGGAAGUCCUCGUGUUGCAUCCC
rnacentral:rRNA from 1 species